CUGCAUGAAGCUGGAAUUGCUAGUAAUCGCGGAUCAGCAAGCCGCGGUGAAUACGUUCCCGGGCCUUGUACACACCGCCCGUCACACCAUGAGAGUCGGGAACACCCGAAGUCCGUAGUCUAACCGCAAGGGGGGCGCGGCCGAAGGUGGGUCCGGUAAUUGGGGUGAAGUCGUAACAAGGUAGC
rnacentral:rRNA from 1 species